rnacentral:rRNA from 1 species
GAUGAACGCUGGCGGCGUGCUUAACACAUGCAAGUCGAACGGUGAGGCCCAGCUUGCUUGGUGGGCUAGUGUCGCACAGGUGAGUAUCACGCGAGUAACACGUGCUUUUCACUGUGGUAUACCUUGAGAAAUCGGUCUAUUACUGCAUAUAAGUUCUCCUGGCAUGGUGGGGGGGGGAGAGAUUUUUGGGUGUUGGAUGGACUCGCGGCGUAUCAGCUUGUUGGUGUGGUAAUGGCUCACCAAGGCGAUGACGGGUAGCCCGCCUGAGAGGGUGACCGGCCACACUGGGACUGAGACACGGCCCAGACUCCUACGGGAGGCAGCAGUGGGGAAUAUUGCACAAUGGGCGCAAGCCUGAUGCAGCGACGCCGCGUGAGGGAUGACGGCCUUCGGGUUGUAAACCUCUUUCAGUAGGGAAGAAGCGAGAGUGACGGUACCUGCAGAAGAAGCGCCGGCUAACUACGUG